rnacentral:lncRNA from 1 species
AAAUUUCGGCAUAACCUCCCUAUAAUUAAAACAUAUCCCAAAACCCUGAAAAUAACAUAAACAAUAUAUGUAUCCAACUAAAUGAUCACAACUGUUUAAUAAUAGGUUCAUAACGAUGACAUCAAUAAACAAUAUAUAUAAUAACUGUUUAAUCCUUAAAUGACAUAACUUAACAUACUGAACCUAAAAUAACAAAACUAAGUUAACCAAAUUCUUAUCAUAUUUCAUAUUUGGUAUUCCUUAUAAGUUAACAAAAAUAUAUAUGAUACUUAGAGCUGAUUCACUUGGGCAACAGCUGCCUUAUGUAGGCCUCGAAAUAUAAACACAAACAUAUCCUUCAACAUGCCUAAUUCAGUGGCAUGUCACUCACACCAACCCCAUAAAAGCAUCUUGACCUAUAUGCAUUUCAUUAAAGGAGGAACACUUACCUAUAUGCAUUUCAUUCAAGGAGAAACAAAAACAUUCCCAAAUAAUAUCACUGACAUAUUUAAUAAAGUCCCAAAAGCUUACAAAUUUGAGGAAGCAUAACCACGCCAUAUCUAUCACUUUCAUAUGCAAUCCAACAAAAUUUCUCUUCGAUAAAUUAUAGACGAAACUCAGGUAAGUCAAUACAAGGUCAUUGUUUGUCCUAAUAAACCCACAUUCUCUACCUGCCUUAUAUAAUAAACAUGUAUAUAUACACACAUAUUAACAAACAACAUCAACAUCAAUCCAAAUCAAAAAACAAAUCCACCAAACUUGCUCAUCCAACAUAAAAUCAACUAAUUAAUCCAUACAGUACCAACAGAUUCCAGUAAAUUGUGCCUUCAUAUCAAAGUACCCAAAAAUCAACUAAUUAAUCCGUAAAUUCACAACGCACAGUUCAUAAUUUAACUAAUUAAUCCCAUAAUUCUUCACCCAUGUAACAAAAUUAUGUGGAUUGGGUGGGAUUGAUAGGACCACCAAAUCCCCUAAAAUAUGAAAAAUUGUAAUCCCUAAUCCCCAAAUUGUAAACCCUAAUCCCCAAAUUGUAAACCCUAAAAUCUGAAAAAUUGUAAACACUAAUCCCCAAAUUGUAAACUCUAAUCCACAAAUUGUAAACCCUAAAAUCUGAAAAAUUGGAAACCCUAAUUCUCUAACCUAAUAGUCUAUAAAUUGGAACCCCUAAUUCCCCAAACGAAAAUUGAAAUAAAUUAAUAAAAUUGGAAAUAUUUACCAUGUUAGCAACUAGAGGGGGAGAAGGGGAGAGGGUGAGAGGCCGAGAGGUAGGGUGAGGGUGAGAGGUCGAGAAGUGGGGUGAGGGUGAGAGGCAGAAAGGUAGGGUGAAGGUGUGUCGGAGGAGGAAGAGAGACUGCGAGGGGGCGAGAGGGGGAGAGGGUGACAUAGAGGGAGGGUGUGUCGGAGGGAGUUUACCAAAGACGAAGAGGUGAGGGGAAAAGUGUGUGCAAUUUCAGUUUAAUCCUGACUUUCUUGCGCGACAAAUAUAAGAUAUUCAUCGAGCAAAAGAUUCAAAUUUUAACGAAAUAAUUUUCAUGCACGCCAAAAAGUCAAAAUUUUCAACUCCUUUAGCGACAAAACAAAAACUAAUCGUCGCGCAAAUAAUAGUUGUGCGAUGAAGGGUUCUUGGUCGUCGCUCUAGGAGCUAAAAAUUUAUGUUUGAACUUAUAUUUUCAAAAAAAACAUAAACAAUUUUUUUAUAACAUAAGAUAAAUAAAUUACAAAAGAAAUCAUUUAAUAUGUUUUACAUAGCAAGUAAAAAAUAAUUGCAUUAUUCAUCAUCCGAACUGUAAUAACUUUUGCUAUCUUCAUGAUAGGAUUUUUACUACUCAUGUGAACGGGCUUAAAUCUCCUAUUUUACUUGCAAGAAUCACAAGGUUAUUGUAGUAUAAACGGACCUCGCAAGGUCGUCUCCACAGGGACUAUUAAAUAAUUCGAAACUAAUCAGAUUCCAUUUAAUUAUUGUAAAGUAGAAAUUGAAGUGAUUGAUUUUAUAACCUAAUUAAAAUAAAAACGAAAUUAAUGAAUUAAAAUAAACAAUCUGCAAUAUUAGAGCUAGAGAGAAAAUAAAACAGUUUUGGGAGAAUAAAAUUAAGAAAGCACUAAGGUUCCACCAUCACCUAGCAAUCCUAUGAAUUUUUACCCAUUACUUAUGAUCUAUACAUGCCACUUUGAAGGUUAGAUUUUCCUAAUUCAUAUUCUACUUGGAACCUCCA